rnacentral:rRNA from 1 species
GACGAACGCUGGCGGCGUGCUUAACACAUGCAAGUCGAACGAGACGAUUUAGAAGCUUGCUUUAUGAGUCGAGUGGCAAACGGGUGAGUAACGCGUAGACAACCUGCCGCAAAGAUGGGGACAACAGUCCGAAAGGACUGCUAAUACCGAAUGUUGUAUCUCCUCCGCAUGGAAGAGAUAUUAAAGAUGGCCUCUACUUGUAAGCUAUCGCCUGAAGAGGGGUUUGCGUCUGAUUAGGUAGUUGGUGAGGUAACGGCCCACCAAGCCGACGAUCAGUAGCCGGUCUGAGAGGAUGAACGGUUUUUCCACACUGGAACUGAGACACGGUCCAGACUCGUAGUGACU